CAUCUCUAACCUGCUUCUUCUUCUUCUUCUUCUCAUCUCUUAUUCUUAUAUCUAAUGAUCACUCAUAUAUGUUAAUAAUAAAGAAAAUAUUUAAAUGCAUACACAGCCACCUAUCGUGGAAUGCGGCGCCUACGAGUUCGUCGUGAGCAGACGUCGCAUCACGUCCCCUCGUCCCAAGAAUCCAUCACUGCCGUCCAUCACAUCACCACCUUCAUACGAUCUGUUUCGAUUGCCAUCCUGCAGAAAAGCUAGAAAUUGGUAGGAUGCGCUCGGGUCGUAUCCUAAGCAAAACGGUGGUCACAUCAUUAACCGUCAGAUUCUUUAAUUCAACGAAUCAGGAUGCAUAUUUGACGGUUGAGAUGUAUGAGAUCGAACCCACAGCGUGCGUUAGGAAGGCCCAUUAUAACCAACUGCUCUCUCGCCAUCGGCUGCGCACCGGUCCCUUGCGUGAUUUCCCCGCUCUUUCUCCGCUCUCCGAAGGAGUGGGGAAGACUGAAGAGGAGAAGGCCACGGUGGUGGAGGCGACGGAGAACGUCAAGAAAGCGGAGUCGUCCCUGGAGGAGAAGCACCUUCCUUUCGGCGUCCUCUUCUUCUUUUCGCCUUCUCCCUGAGGAAAACAAAUUGGUGCUACCGUUCUUUCUUGGACUUGGGUUUCGAGGACAAAGAACUGUGGUAAACUGAUUAUAAUAUUGAACGGAUAUUAUAAUUUAUCAGAGUUUUCACUUUUAUAGUAUGAAUCUUACUACUUUUUCUUCA